CAAAUGGGUGGCAGGAACCUGAUCACUGAAGCCAUCAUUGUUGACACAGAUGGUCUGCAAUAUCAGGAAGAUGGAGUCAAAAGCUUGAGCCAGGAUUUAAACCCAGGCACUCUCAUCUGUAAACAUUCCAAAAGGAAUAGGACAUUGCAUUCUUGGCUGGAAAUGAAACAAGCAAGUGAAUCAUCUGAAAAUUCAGGGUUGGACUCCCUGCUAAUGUGCCUGGGAAAGAAGUAGAAGAUGGCCCAAGUUCUUGGGCCCCUGCAUCCAUGUGGAAGACCCAGACGAAGCUCCUGGCUCCUGGCUUCAGAUCAGCGCAACUCUAGCCAUUGCAGCCAAUU